GUGUCAGCAGCCGCGGUAAUACGAAGGGUGCAAGCGUUAAUCGGAAUUACUGGGCGUAAAGGGUGCGUAGGCGGUUGUUUAAGUCUGUCGUGAAAUCCCCGGGCUCAACCUGGGAAUGGCGAUGGAUACUGGGCAGCUAGAGUGUGUCAGAGGAUGGCGGAAUUUCCGGUGUAGCGGUGAAAUGCGUAGAGAUCGGAAGGAACAUCAGUGGCGAAGGCGGCCAUCUGGGACAACACUGACGCUGAAGCACGAAAGCGUGGGGAGCAAACAGGAUUAGAUACCCUGGUAGUCCACGCCCUAAACGAUGCGAACUGGAUGUUGGUCUCAACUCGGAGAUCAGUGUCGAAGCUAACGCGUUAAGUUCGCCGCCUGGGGAGUACGGUCGCAAGACUGAA
rnacentral:rRNA from 1 species